GAGGUUAAGAGCAGUGGCUUCUUGUCUA
rnacentral:piRNA from 1 species